UACAAAAUGCAGCUGAUCAAAGAUGUACAAUAACUUCUAUCCAAAAGAAUAGUCAAAAUAGAUAGAAAAGAAUAAGCUAUUUUUAGAACUUUACAAUAUUAGGAUCUAAAAAGAACAGUAUGAUCACCAUAAUCUUUCUAUCAUCAUGUUGAAUGUAUCAUCACCUUGAAGGUGUUUCUGAUGGCUGACUAUUCAAUGCAGAACUUGAGGGAAUAGAAGGCAUAGCUCCAUUUUCUUGAGACGAUGAACCGCCCCACUUGGGCUCUGCAUCUGAUGGCUCGAUCACAUGCACUGUGCCAUCACUCAUACCAAGAGCAAAUUGAUGGGAAUCAGAUGGAUGUGCUGCUAUCACUACAGGAAAUGCAGCGCCGCUGCCGCUGCCAAUUGAAGAUAAGUAAGCCGAGGGUGCAAUUCUACAUCGAAGUCUGAGACUGUCUGCAUCAAAUAUUCCGAUUGCACCAUCACAGAAUCCAGUAAAAAUCAGCAGACCAUCACAUGAAUAUAUAGCACUUGAAAUGGGAGCAGAAAGUGAAUCUCUUGGAUACCAUGAACGUUGACAUUCAAGUUGGGUAUCAUAGAUUCCAAUUUGGCUUUCAUGAACUACUAGUAUAUGAGAUUGGUCAUUAUGGAAUUGGACUCUAGUUUCUCCAACUAAGGGAGCUUGGUGACCUGGUGGCACUUGUAUAGGUCUUGCUUUUUUCUUUUCCCAGCCAUCAACACUCCAGAUACAUAGCUGUGCAUCUGCACCUGAAGAUACCAGUACAUUCAAGCUCUGUGAAAAAGCAAGGCCUGUGAUCCGUUUCUGGUGACCC
rnacentral:misc_RNA from 1 species